CUACGGGUGGCUCCAGUAAAGAAUCUUCCGCAAUGGACGAAAGUCUGACGGAGCAACACCGCGUGAUUGAUGACGGCCUUCGGGUUGUAAAGAUCUUUUCUGGGGGAAGAACUCUGACGGUACCCUAGGAAUAAGCACCGGCUAAAUUCGUGCCAGCAGCCGCGGUAAUACGAAUGGUGCAAGCGUUACCCGGAAUUAUUGGGCGUAAAGCGUCCGUAGGCGGCGCAUCAAGUUGGAUGUUAAAUGUCCCAGCUCAACUGGGAACUUGUUUCCAAAACUGAUGUGCUAGAGGUUUGGAGAGGUGAGUGGAAUUCGGUGUGUAGGGGUAAAAUCCGUAGAUACACCGAGGAACACCAAAAGCGAAGGCAGCUCACUGGCCAAAUUCUGACGCUCAGGGACGAAAGCGUGGGGAGCGAAGAGGAUUAGAUACCCGCGUAGUC
rnacentral:rRNA from 1 species